rnacentral:rRNA from 1 species
UCUAGCGGCGGACGGGUGAGUAACACGUGGGUAACCUGCCCAAGAGUCCGGGAUAACAGUCCGAAAGGGCUGCUAAUACUGGAUAACCGACGAAGUCGCAUGGUUUUGUUGUAAAAGGGAACGUUCUUGGAUGGGCCCGCGUCCCAUUAGCUAGUUGGUAGGGUAACGGCCUACCAAGGCGACGAUGGGUAGCCGACCUGAGAGGGUGACCGGCCACACUGGGACUGAGACACGGCCCAGACUCCUACGGGAGGCAGCAGUAGGGAAUCUUCCCCAAUGGGCGAAAGCCUGAGGGAGCGACGCCGCGUGAGUGACGAAGGUCUUCGGAUUGUAAAGCUCUGUCUAGGGGGACGAAGGAGAUGACGGUACCCCUGGAGGAAGCCACGGCUAACUACGUGCCAGCAGCCGCGGUAAUACGUAGGUGGCGAGCGUUGUCCGGAAUUAUUGGGCGUAAAGGGCGUGUAGGCGGGGGGCCAAGUCCGAUGUGAAAACCCUGGGCUUAACCGAGGGAUUGCAUUGGAAACUGGUCUUCUUGAGUGCAGGAGAGGGGAGCGGAAUUCCCAGUGUAGCGGUGAAAUGCGUAGAGAUUGGGAGGAACACCAGUGGCGAAGGCGGCUCUCUGGACUGUAACUGACGCUGAGGCGCGAAAGCUGGGGGAGCGAACGGGAUUAGAUACCCCGGUAGUCCCAGCCGUAAACGAUGAGCACUAGGUGUGGGAGGUAUCGACGCCUUCCGUGCCGGAGUUAACGCAAUAAGUGCUCCGCCUGGGGAGUACGGCCGCAAGGCUGAAACUCAAAGGAAUUGACGGGGGCCCGCACAAGCAGUGGAGCAUGUGGUUUAAUUCGAAGCAACGCGAAGAACCUUACCAGGGCUUGACAUCUGGCGGAGCCUGUGGAAACACGGGGGUGCCCUCCUAGAGGGGGAACGCCAAGACAGGUGGUGCAUGGUUGUCGUCAGCUCGUGUCGUGAGAUGUUGGGUUAAGUCCCGCAACGAGCGCAACCCUUGUUCGUAGUUGCCAGCACGUGAAGGUGGGCACUCUACGGAGACUGCCGCAGAGAAUGCGGAGGAAGGUGGGGAUGACGUCAAAUCAUCAUGCCCCUUAUGUCCUGGGCUACACACGUGCUACAAUGGCCUGAACAAAGGGAAGCGAAGGAGCGAUCCGGAGCGAAUCCCAGAAAACAGGUCUCAGUUCGGAUUGCAGGCUGCAACCCGCCUGCAUGAAGCCGGAAUUGCUAGUAAUCGCGGAUCAGCAUGCCGCGGUGAAUACGUUCCCGGGCCUUGUACACACCGCCCGUCACACCACGAAAGUUGGCAACACCCGAAGCCGGUGGG